AAGGAUUUAAGUUAAAAAAACUAUUGGCCUUCAAAGCCAAAAAUGGGAAAGGUUUUCCUAAGCCUUA
rnacentral:tRNA from 1 species